rnacentral:lncRNA from 12 species
AUGCUUUUACGAAGAUGGUUUUCUUCUCUACUACCCCUGGAUGAACCUGGCUCUGCCUCUCCAAAUUCAAUGAUGUCAGGUCAGCAGGGAGCAAAUUCAAGACUGUGCAAUGCCCAUCAGCUAUUAGCUGGGGAGAUCCCUUCAUCCCCAAGGUCCAAGUUCAAUUCUAAAGGGCAUGUUUUCUUUUCGGCGUACGUGGUUAUCCCUCAUGAACAGCAACGGGUGUUUGAGAGUGAAUGUGAAGAAGGCUUUGCAACCCUGAGAUUUUUCCAAGCGUGAAUGUCACGAGGCCAAACUAAACACGGUUUUGCUCUUUGGCUCCGACAAAUGGUGAUACCCCUGAAUCAGAGACUCCAAGUGAUGAAAUGUCCACACAGGUGGCUUCUGCACGCGUCACCUCGAGGACACGGGCUUUGAGAAUGGCCUGUCUCUGUACUUCUCGGGCACCAAGCCGUUGUGACCAUGCGAGGGAGGGGAGGGGGCAUUUCUGAACAGGGCUGGGGUUUGUUGUUGUUUUGCUGCCCAGAUGUCCUACAGCUCGUGCCAGGGAACGAGCUAUACUCAGUGCUGCGUGAAUGUCCUGUCGUGGAACACUUGCAUCCCCAGCUACCUUCGGCUGAUUUUAUCAGUAUCAGAGACUCUGACAUCAUGCACAGAGACACAGGCACUGGGGAAAAAAAAAAAAAGCAACCAAAAUGUGAAUAACAAACUGUUCGAGAUGAAGCAGUUCUAGAGGGCUGGCUCCACUUGCCCGAGAGGUGUGUAGCAACACCAAAUAAGCCAAAAUAAGAGGCAGCCUUGUUUGUAUAGAACUUAAUAGGCCCCAGAGGGGAAAGAGCUCAAUGAAACAAUCUCGCCUAAUAUUUUUUUCUUAGGUUCUUUGCUCUAUUUCAUGGAACCGAUGAUUUAGAAAGGUCUCUAAAAUGCACGGUGGCAAGAACACCAGUCUGCCAGGGUUCUCAAAAUGUACGUCAAUGGCUUUAGUCUUAUUGGAUAUACAACUAUCAAUAGCAGUAGUGGCAUUAGCAUGAACUUAAACUCAGUAAUUUCUGACAAUGAGGGCUUGACUGAUAUUUCUAAAUUCUUUACGCCCCCAAAAAAAGAGUAGGAAACAACAUGACUAAUAGUCAGAUGAAGACCCUUUCUUUUCUUCUGAAGAUAUUUUUAAGGAUAUAAACAACCCAUUCUCUUCUUUGCUGGUAUUAACCUACAAGAGACAGAAAGUCAACUUGUAAUUGUCUUUUCGUGACUGUUGGCCUCAAUUCCUGGCUCAGGACAUAAUAAUAUAAAGCAACUGGUUUUGUCUUGCAUGAGAAACUAAAAUUAAAAUCUCAGGAGUUACUUAUUUUAACCCAGAAACAGGAAAGGAAGCAGUCUGUUAGAAAAAAAAAGUCAUGAAGACAGUUUCUCAAAUGUGUGGACCUUUUUAACUUAGUACCAAUCUAUGACAAAAAGCAAAACGAGACAGGAGUGGGGUUUUCCUUAAGGUUUUUAAAGUGUUUUUGGUUUUUUUUUUAAUGUCUUUCUCUAGUUGCAACUGGACACUACUACUGGCAUGUCACAAUCUACUCUGGGGAAUGACUAACUAAAUUACUAUAUCCAUAAAUAUUCUAGUGGAAAACAUUUGCAAGGCUCAUUUUCAUAAAUACACUGCAGUGCCUCGAAGUUGAGACCCAUCUCAUAAGACUAAAUUCAAUUCUAUUUUUCUACAUUACAGUCAACAAUUUCAAGGUGUUAUUUUAAACAUCACAACUCCAAAAGUAUGACAGAGAAGAGUUAUAUGGAUGCUAUAUAAACCAAUAUUGCAGUUUAUUACAGAAAAAAAAAAAAAACUACCCAGUGAUGGUGGAUUCCAUUUUUCAUACUCUCUAAUUCUGAAAGUCAAGCAGCCUCUAGCAUUUAUUCUUGGCUGGGAUAAGUGGGUUUUUUUGAAAAAUAAAAUUUGGAUGAAUGUAUGUUAUUCCA